CUGCUUGAAGAUGAGGAGAUCGCGCCAUACAUCCUCUCCGGCCUCGACCUCGAGUACAAUCCCGUGGUGUCUGCCAUCACGGCCCAGCCGGAGCCGAUCUCCCUUGGUGAGUUGUUCACGCAGCUUUCGGCCUUUGAGC